rnacentral:lncRNA from 1 species
UUCAUAAUUUACUGAGUUUUCAUUGCACAGCUAUUAAUGAAAAUUCCAUGUAACAACCUGGCAGCUAUUUUUCAAUGAGUGUUUUUUUGUUCUUUUAGGAGGCAACGCCCUUGCAUUUUAUGAAGGGAAUAUAUGAGACCUUCUGUUCCCAGAAUACAAGCUGACUCCUGCAUGUCCUGGUGUGGAUAGGGAAUUACUGAUGAAAACUUCUCCUCAUUUUCCAGGCCGAAAGAGAACAAGGAAUCAAAGAUCUGCAUCUGCAUCACCAAAACGGAGGAACCGAUCACUAACACAAUGCAAGACAUCAGUGAAAGAAGAAAAAAAAAUAUGGAAGGUAUACGAGGUCCUAAAAAUCACAAGCUCCUUCUCUAAAUGCUGGAGAUCACUUCUGUGAACUCCGCAGAGAAAAUCAGCAGGAGCCAUCAAGACUGCGCCUGGAGUCUGCUGAGUGCAAAUCAGAAAAUGAGAACAGGCCACCAUUUGUAGUCUGACAUGUGAGUCCUAAAAUUGCCAUACUGCAUUAAGAACAUGAAUUUUUGCUAGUAUUAAUUUCAGCAUUUUUGUCUAUCCUGAUCAGCAGAACACUGAAGAAAUUUAGCAACGAAUUUGAAAAUAUGAAUGGAAAUGGUUUUUUGUUCAGUAUGUAAUUGGCCUGUCAAACUCACCAGCAGCUGGUGGAAAUCAGGUUGGUCAGUUAACAGCAUUCAGGAAAGGAAAAGAUAUUUCAAAGAAUUCAAAGACAUGUUUAGAUACUGUAAAAAUAUAAUACAUUUUAACUCCCCCCUUUUCUUCCGGGCAUAAACCAAUCCGUGCAUUUCUGCACUUGAUAAAGAAUCUGUGGGCAGUUUAUUUCAUAUUUUUGAGAUAGUCCUUCUGCUUCCUUCUGAGAUCUCUGUGACUGAGGCCAGUGAACUGAGGUACCUGCUGAUAUGGCAGUGAUUAUCAGUCCCUGUGGUUCUACUUAGAUGCAUCAAAGUCUUUUGUUAGUCACUGAAGACAGUGGAGAGUGUUUCUGGGAUUUCACCAAUAAAUGUUUGCAUUUAGCCA